AGAGUUUGAUCCUGGCUCAGGAUGAACGCUAGCGGCGGGCCUAACACAUGUUUAGUCGAGGGGUAGAACACUUCGGUGUUUGAGACCGGCGCACGGGUGCGUAACGCGUAUGCAAUCUACCUUAUACAGGGGAAUAGCCCAGAGAAAUUUGGAUUAAUGCCCCAUAGUGUUAUCGAAUCGCAUGGUUUGAUAACUAAAGUUCCAACGGUAUAAGAUGAGCAUGCGUCCCAUUAGUUAGUUGGUAAGGUAACGGCUUACCAAGACAAUGAUGGGUAGGGGUCCUGAGAGGGAGAUCCCCCACACUGGUACUGAGACACGGACCAGACUCCUACGGGAGGCAGCAGUGAGGAAUAUUGGUCAAUGGGCGCAAGCCUGAACCAGCCAUGCCGCGUGCAGGAAGAAGCAUCUAUGGUGUGUAAACUGCUUUUAUACAGGAAGAAACACCCCCACUUGUGGGGGCUUGACGGUACUGUAGGAAUAAGGAUCGGCUAACUCCGUGCCAGCAGCCGCGGUAAUACGGAGGAUCCAAGCGUUAUCCGGAAUCAUUGGGUUAAAGGGUCCGUAGGCGGUCUUAUAAGUCAGUGUUGAAAGCCCAUCGCUCAACGAUGGAACUGCC
rnacentral:rRNA from 1 species